GACGAACGCUGGCGGCGUGCCUAAUACAUGCAAGUAGAACGCUGAAGGAGGAGCUUGCUUCUCUGGAUGAGUUGCGAACGGGUGAGUAACGCGUAGGUAACCUGCCUGGUAGCGGGGGAUAACUAUUGGAAACGAUAGCUAAUACCGCAUAAUAGUAGAUGUUGCAUGACAUUUGCUUAAAAGGUGCAAUUGCAUCACUACCAGAUGGACCUGCGUUGUAUUAGCUAGUUGGUGGGGUAACGGCUCACCAAGGCGACGAUACAUAGCCGACCUGAGAGGGUGAUCGGCCACACUGGGACUGAGACACGGCCCAGACUCCUACGGGAGGCAGCAGUAGGGAAUCUUCGGCAAUGGACGGAAGUCUGACCGAGCAACGCCGCGUGAGUGAAGAAGGUUUUCGGAUCGUAAAGCUCUGUUGUAAGAGAAGAACGAGUGUGAGAGUGGAAAGUUCACACGACG
rnacentral:rRNA from 1 species